GGGAAUCUCCUGCCAGAAGUGGAGGUUCUCCAGAAGAUCAGGUUGCUUUUUCUCACUGGGUGAGGUACACAGUUCCUGGAGCUGGGGAAGCACAAGGAGGCCUUGCUGGAUUUCCAGUACAGCUUGCAAGUCUUGCCAGGCCCUUCCCUUUGUACCUCCUGUGAAGCAGGCAGCCUUCCCACAGAGGGAAUCUCUUGCUAGAAGCAUACAGGAUUACCUCAGGAGCACAAGCCAGGAUCCCUUCAGCUAACCCAGCCAGUGUCCUCAUCACCACCUGCUGGAGUCUCCCUGCACCAGGAUGACAUCAGGCCUUUAAGGACUCCUCCAGGACUCAAAACUGCUCUUGGGUAAAGCUGGAUUUCCCAAAAGACAGAAACAGAACAGAUUCCCUUUUCUAAUAAACUGAAUAGAUCUGA